GAUGAACGCUGGCGGCGUGCCUAAUACAUGCAAGUCGAGCGAACAGACGAGGAGCUUGCUCCUCUGACGUUAGCGGCGGACGGGUGAGUAACACGUGGAUAACCUACCUAUAAGACUGGGAUAACUUCGGGAAACCGGAGCUAAUACCGGAUAAUAUAUUGAACCGCAUGGUUCAAUAGUGAAAGACGGUUUUGCUGUCACUUAUAGAUGGAUCCGCGCCGCAUUAGCUAGUUGGUAAGGUAACGGCUUACCAAGGCAACGAUGCGUAGCCGACCUGAGAGGGGGGUCGGCCCCACCUGAAAGUGGACACGGGCCAGACUCCCAAGGGGGGGCGCAGUAGGGAAGCUUUCCCAAAGGGGGGAAACCCUGAGGGGCAAAGGCGGGGGGGGGAAGAAGGGUUUUGGGUCGGAAAACCUUUUUAUUUGGGAAAAAAAAAAUGGGAAAGAAAUGAUGACCGUUUGACGGGAACUAAUCAAAAAGCCACGGGUAAAUUCGGG
rnacentral:rRNA from 1 species